UUUCAUGAAGCAAGAACUCCGAAGGACUGUCUCACCUUUAGGUUUAUUUUGAUUUUGAUUUUUUGUUUUUGGAAGGAAAAGAAGAUGAAGUGAGUCGUUGUGGAGACUUGGUGAGAGAACGUGAAACUGGUGAGUGCAGUAGCCACUGCAAGAUACCUGUGGACAGAUGUGGGAGCAUUUCAGAAAAUGCUUCAUAAGAAGUUCCUGGGAUCUGAUGCUGUCUUCUGGCUGCAUGGGAACUUGUACAUGCAUAUCCAGACACACAGAUAUACCAAAAGGAAA